rnacentral:rRNA from 1 species
AGAUAGAAAGUUACUUCGGUACGAUCGGUGACAGGUGGUGCAUGGUUGUCGUCAGCUCGUGUCGUGAGAUGUUGGGUUAAGUCCCGCAACGAGCGCAACCCCUAUUGUUAGUUGCCAUCAUUCAGUUGGGCACUCUAGCGAGACUGCCGGUAAUAAACCGGAGGAAGGUGGGGAUGACGUCAAAUCAUCAUGCCCCUUAUGACCUGGGCUACACACGUGCUACAAUGGUUGGUACAACGAGUUGCGAGUCGGUGACGGCGAGCUAAUCUCUUAAAGCCAAUCUCAGUUCGGAUUGUAGGCUGCAACUCGCCUACAUGAAGUCGGAAUCGCUAGUAAUCGCGGAUCAGCACGCCGCGGUCGAUACGUUCCGGCCUU